AUUGCAAGUUCAAGGCCACAGCAGAAGCGCUCAUGGAGCAGCCUGUCAGAUUUCAAUGAAUCUGCAAAUUCUCCU
rnacentral:ribozyme from 1 species